rnacentral:rRNA from 1 species
GAUUAAGUUAUUAAGGGCGCACGGUGGAUGCCUUGGCACUAGAAGCCGAUGAAGGACGUUACUAACGACGAUAUGCUUUGGGGAGCUGUAAGUAAGCUUUGAUCCAGAGAUUUCCGAAUGGGGAAACCCAGCAUGAGUUAUGUCAUGUUAUCGAUAUGUGAAUACAUAGCAUAUCAGAAGGCACACCCGGAGAACUGAAACAUCUUAGUACCCGGAGGAAGAAAAAGAAAAUUCGAUUCCCUUAGUAGCGGCGAGCGAAACGGGAAGAGCCCAAACCAACAAGCUUGCUUGUUGGGGUUGUAGGACACUCUAUACGGAGUUACAAAGGACGACAUUAGACGAAUCAUCUGGAAAGAUGAAUCAAAGAAGGUAAUAAUCCUGUAGUCGAAAAUGUUGUCUCUCUUGAGUGGAUCCUGAGUACGACGGAGCACGUGAAAUUCCGUCGGAAUCUGGGAGGACCAUCUCCUAAGGCUAAAUACUCUCUAGUGACCGAUAGUGAACCAGUACCGUGAGGGAAAGGUGAAAAGCACCCCGGAAGGGGAGUGAAAUAGAACCUGAAACCGUGUGCUUACAAGUAGUCAGAGCCCGUUAAUGGGUGAUGGCGUGCCUUUUGUAGAAUGAACCGGCGAGUUACGAUUUGAUGCAAGGUUAAGCAGUAAAUGUGGAGCCGUAGCGAAAGCGAGUCUGAAUAGGGCGUUUAGUAUUUGGUCGUAGACCCGAAACCAGGUGAUCUACCCUUGGUCAGGUUGAAGUUCAGGUAACACUGAAUGGAGGACCGAACCGACUUACGUUGAAAAGUGAGCGGAUGAACUGAGGGUAGCGGAGAAAUUCCAAUCGAACCUGGAGAUAGCUGGUUCUCUCCGAAAUAGCUUUAGGGCUAGCCUCAAGUGAUGAUUAUUGGAGGUAGAGCACUGUUUGGACGAGGGGCCCCUCUCGGGUUACCGAAUUCAGACAAACUCCGAAUGCCAAUUAAUUUAACUUGGGAGUCAGAACAUGGGUGAUAAGGUCCGUGUUCGAAAGGGAAACAGCCCAGACCACCAGCUAAGGUCCCAAAAUAUAUGUUAAGUGGAAAAGGAUGUGGCGUUGCCCAGACAACUAGGAUGUUGGCUUAGAAGCAGCCAUCAUUUAAAGAGUGCGUAAUAGCUCACUAGUCGAGUGACACUGCGCCGAAAAUGUACCGGGGCUAAACAUAUUACCGAAGCUGUGGAUUGUCCUUUGGACAAUGGUAGGAGAGCGUUCUAAGGGCGUUGAAGCAUGAUCGUAAGGACAUGUGGAGCGCUUAGAAGUGAGAAUGCCGGUGUGAGUAGCGAAAGACGGGUGAGAAUCCCGUCCACCGAUUGACUAAGGUUUCCAGAGGAAGGCUCGUCCGCUCUGGGUUAGUCGGGUCCUAAGCUGAGGCCGACAGGCGUAGGCGAUGGAUAACAGGUUGAUAUUCCUGUACCACCUAUAAUCGUUUUAAUCGAUGGGGGGACGCAGUAGGAUAGGCGAAGCGUGCGAUUGGAUUGCACGUCUAAGCAGUAAGGCUGAGUAUUAGGCAAAUCCGGUACUCGUUAAGGCUGAGCUAUGAUGGGGAGAAGACAUUGAGUCUUCGAGUCGUUGAUUUCACACUGCCGAGAAAAGCCUCUAGAUAGAAAAUAGGUGCCCGUACCGCAAACCGACACAGGUAGUCAAGAUGAGAAUUCUAAGGUGAGCGAGCGAACUCUCGUUAAGGAACUCGGCAAAAUGACCCCGUAACUUCGGGAGAAGGGGUGCUCUUUAGGGUUAACGCCCAGAAGAGCCGCAGUGAAUAGGCCCAAGCGACUGUUUAUCAAAAACACAGGUCUCUGCUAAACCGUAAGGUGAUGUAUAGGGGCUGACGCCUGCCCGGUGCUGGAAGGUUAAGAGGAGUGGUUAGCUUCUGCGAAGCUACGAAUCGAAGCCCCAGUAAACGGCGGCCGUAACUAUAACGGUCCUAAGGUAGCGAAAUUCCUUGUCGGGUAAGUUCCGACCCGCACGAAAGGCGUAACGAUUUGGGCACUGUCUCAACGAGAGACUCGGUGAAAUCAUAGUACCUGUGAAGAUGCAGGUUACCCGCGACAGGACGGAAAGACCCCGUGGAGCUUUACUGUAGCCUGAUAUUGAAAUUCGGCACAGCUUGUACAGGAUAGGUAGGAGCCUUUGAAACGUGAGCGCUAGCUUACGUGGAGGCGCUGGUGGGAUACUACCCUAGCUGUGUUGGCUUUCUAACCCGCACCACUUAUCGUGGUGGGAGACAGUGUCAGGCGGGCAGUUUGACUGGGGCGGUCGCCUCCUAAAAGGUAACGGAGGCGCUCAAAGGUUCCCUCAGAAUGGUUGGAAAUCAUUCAUAGAGUGUAAAGGCAUAAGGGAGCUUGACUGCGAGACCUACAAGUCGAGCAGGGUCGAAAGACGGACUUAGUGAUCCGGUGGUUCCGCAUGGAAGGGCCAUCGCUCAACGGAUAAAAGCUACCCCGGGGAUAACAGGCUUAUCUCCCCCAAGAGUUCACAUCGACGGGGAGGUUUGGCACCUCGAUGUCGGCUCAUCGCAUCCUGGGGCUGUAGUCGGUCCCAAGGGUUGGGCUGUUCGCCCAUUAAAGCGGUACGCGAGCUGGGUUCAGAACGUCGUGAGACAGUUCGGUCCCUAUCCGUCGUGGGCGUAGGAAAUUUGAGAGGAGCUGUCCUUAGUACGAGAGGACCGGGAUGGACAUACCUCUGGUGUACCAGUUGUCGUGCCAACGGCAUAGCUGGGUAGCUAUGUGUGGACGGGAUAAGUGCUGAAAGCAUCUAAGCAUGAAGCCCCCCUCAAGAUGAGAUUUCCCAACUUCGGUUAUAAGAUCCCUCAAAGAUGAUGAGGUUAAUAGGUUCGAGGUGGAAGCAUGGUGACAUGUGGAGCUGACGAAUACUAAUCGAUCGAAGACUUAAUCAA